CGACUCUCGACAACGGAUAUCUAGGCUCUCGCAUCGAUGAAGAACGUAGCAAAAUGCGAUACUUGGUGUGAAUUGCAGAAUCCCGUGAAUCAUCGAGUUUUUGAACGCAAGUUGCGCCCAAAGUCAUUAGGCUGAGGGCACGUCUGCCUGGGUGUCAC
rnacentral:rRNA from 3 species